UACGAAGGGGGCUAGCGUUGCUCGGAAUCACUGGGCGUAAAGGGUGCGUAGGCGGGUUUUUAAGUCAGGGGUGAAAUCCUGGAGCUCAACUCCAGAACUGCCUUUGAUACUGAAGAUCUUGAGUCCGGGAGAGGUGAGUGGAACUGCGAGUGUAGAGGUGAAAUUCGUAGAUAUUCGCAAGAACACCAAUGGCGAAGGCAGCUCACUGGGACGGUACUGACGCUGAGGAGCGAAAGCGUGGGGAGCGAACAGG
rnacentral:rRNA from 1 species